GAGUUUGAUCCUGGCUCAGAAUGAACGCUGGCGGCAUGGAUUAGGCAUGCAAGUCGAACGAGAAAGUCACUUCGGUGACAAGUACAGUGGCGAACGGGUGAGUAACACGUGAAUAAUCUGCCCCUAACUUCGGAACAACCAUUCGAAAGGAUGGCCAAUACCGGAUGUGGAGUCUAAACCGCAUGGUUUGGUACUCUAAAGAUUUAUCGGUUAGGGAUGAAUUCGCGGCCCAUUACGCUUGUUGGUGGGGUAACGGCCUACCAAGGCUAUGACGGGUAGCUGGUCUGAGAGGAUGAUCAGCCACACUGGGACUGAGACACUGCCCAGACUUCUACGGAAGGCUGCAGUCGAGAAUCUUCCGCAAUGCGCGAAAGCGUGACGGAGCAAUGCCGCGUGAGGGAGAAGGCCUUCGGGUCGUAAACCUCUGUCACAGGGGAUGAAUAAUGACAGUACCCUGAGAGGAAGCCACGGCUAACUACGUGCCAGCAGCCGCGGUAAUACGUAGGUGGCGAGCGUUAUUCGGAUUUACUGGGCGUAAAGGGUCCGCAGGGGGUUAAUUUAGUCCGGUGUGAAAGCCAACAGCUCAACCGUUGAACUGCAUCGGAUACUGGUUAACUAGAGUACAGGAGAGGAGAGUGGAAUUUCUGGUGUAGCGGUGGAAUGCGUAGAUAUCAGAAGGAACGCCAAGAGCGAAGGCAGCUCUCUGGAAUGUUACUGACCCUCAGGGACGAAAGCUAGGGGAGCGAACAGGAUUAGAUACCCUGGUAGUCCUAGCCGUAAACGGUGUAUACUCGAUGUCGGGGGAUUUGACCCCCCCGGUGUCCAAGCUAACGUGAUAAGUAUACCGCCUGGGGAGUACGGCCGCAAGGCUAAAACUCAAAGGAAUUGACGGGGGCCCGCACAAGCGGUGGAGCAUGUUGCUUAAUUCGAGGCAACGCGAAGAACCUUACCUGGGUUUGACAUAUACCUGACCGUCCUAGAAACAGGACUUUUCCUUUUAGGAACGAGUAUACAGGUGCUGCAUGGCUGUCGUCAGCUCGUGCCGUGAGGUGUUCGGUUAAGUCCGGUAACGAGCGCAACCCAUGUCAUCAGUUGCAAACAGUUCGGCUGUGGACUCUGGUGAGACUGCCCGUUUCAAGCGGGAGGAAGGCGUGGAUGACGUCAAGUCAGUAUGGCCCUUACACCCAGGGCUGCAAACGUGCUACAAUGACCGGUACAGAAGGCAGCAAUACCGCGAGGUGGAGCGAAUCCCCAAAACCGGUCCCAGUACGGAUUGGAGUCUGCAACUCGACUCCAUGAAGUCGGAAUCGCUAGUAAAGGCGUAUCAGCUACGACGCCUUGAAUACGUUCCCGGGCCUUGUACACACCGCCCGUCAAAUCAUGGAAGCUGAAUGCACCCGAAGUCGCUGUACCAACCCCUCGGGGAGGAAGGUGCCGAAGGUGUGCUCAGUAACUGGGAUUAAGUCGUAACAAGGUAGCCG
rnacentral:rRNA from 1 species